CUCUGGGGCAAAAAGGAGCAGACAGGUGGAGCUCCUCUGCUCCCACACAAUCCAGGCGGGUCUUCCACUGAACCCCACAUUUUAUUCCCCUUCUACCAGAUCAGAGACAAGGCAAUCAAGUCAACUGUUACUGCUUUGGGAAUAUAAGAUUUAAGGCACAGAGAAGACCUGACAUGGCUGAUCCCAUGUACUGUCCAAAAGCAGAACUGCUUCCCUGAACUAAUCUCCAAGCCAACAACCAGAGCUGAGUUUUAACAAUUAAAAUACAACCAAAUUCUACGGUAAA